rnacentral:lncRNA from 1 species
GCAAUUUGAGGGUACUGGCCAGGCUGGGCUCAUUAUUCCUUUGGUUGAAUAAUGUAAAGCAUUUGCAAUGGAGAUUUGCUCUAAUGAUGUAUUUUAAGUGCAUGUCCAUGUUGUUGGUUUAAUGCACUCAGUCAUGGAAUUCUUUAGUUUAUUGCUAAUGGAUGAAUCCUCAGGAAAAUCGGCAUUUUCAAUCGGAUUGACAUUUGGAGUGAGAAAUAGAAAUCUAAUGAGAGCAUUUCAACCAAGGUUUGUAAUUAGGGCUGAAUGGAGUAAAUUUGUCCAUGCGCACCCCAGAAGGGCACAGUGGAAGGUGAAAUUGCUCACUCUGCUGCGAAUGAGGCACGAGGGCCAAUGGAUCAGUGUCAGGCCACGACACUGUGGAGUAUAAAUGAUACUGUCACCAAGUGCUGCACAGGGUAUCAAGGGAAUUCCACUCCAGUAAAUUACAUUACUCGGACCUGAAGGCAUUGUGCUGGAAUGAGAGGAGGGAAGAGAAGGCUGUCAGCACCCUGCGGAAGAUAUUACAGAGCUGGCUGCAGGGGUGGACGUUACCGGUUUCCAUUAUACCUGGAGAUUCUGUGUCCUUUGUUAAUUAGUUUUCAGAGGUUACAAAUGGGUACAUGUGAAAGCAGUCGUGU